AGUGAACGCUGGCGGUAGGCCUAACACAUGCAAGUCGAACGGCAGCACAGUAAGAGCUUGCUCUUACGGGUGGCGAGUGGCGGACGGGUGAGGAAUACAUCGGAAUCUACUUUUUCUUGGGGGAUAACGUAGGGAAACUUACGCUAAUACCGCAUACGACCUACGGGUGAAAUCAGGGGAUCUUCGGACCUUGCGUGAUUGAAUGAGCCGAUGUCGGAUUAGCUAGUUGGCGGGGUAAAGGCCCACCAAGGCGACGAUCCGUAGCUGGUCUGAGAGGAUGAUCAGCCACACUGGAACUGAGACACGGUCCAGACUCCUACGGGAGGCAGCAGUGGGGAAUAUUGGACAAUGGGCGCAAGCCUGAUCCAGCCAUGCCGCGUGGGUGAAGAAGGCCUUCGGAUUGUAAAGCCCUUUUGUUGGGAAAGAAAAGCAGCAGGUUAAUACCCCGCUGUUCUGACGGUACCCAAAGAAUAAGCACCGGCUAACUUCGUG
rnacentral:rRNA from 1 species